rnacentral:rRNA from 1 species
UAGGGAAUCUUCGGCAAUGGACGAAAGUCUGACCGAGCAACGCCGCGUGAGUGAAGAAGGUUUUCGGAUCGUAAAACUCUGUUGUUAGAGAAGAACAAGGACGUUAGUAACUGAACGUCCCCUGACGGUAUCUAACCAGAAAGCCACGGCUAACUACGUGCCAGCAGCCGCGGUAAUACGUAGGUGGCAAGCGUUGUCCGGAUUUAUUGGGCGUAAAGCGAGCGCAGGCGGUUUCUUAAGUCUGAUGUGAAAGCCCCCGGCUCAACCGGGGAGGGGCAUUGGAAACUGGGAGACUUGAGUGCAGAAGAGGAGAGUGGAAUUCCAUGUGUAGCGGUGAAAUGCGUAGAUAUAUGGAGGAACACCAGUGGCGAAGGCGGCUCUCUGGUCUGUAACUGACGCUGAGGCUAGAAAGCGUGGGGAGCAAACAGG